rnacentral:rRNA from 1 species
UACGGGGGGGAGCAAGCGUUGUUCGGAUUUACUGGGCGUAAAGGGCGCGUAGGCGGUCAGCACAAGUCAGUUGUGAAAUCUCCGGGCUUAACUCGGAAAGGUCAACUGAUACUGUGCGACUAGAGUGCAGAAGGGGCGAGUGGAAUUCCUGGUGUAGCGGUGAAAUGCGCAGAUAUCAGGAGGAACACCAAUGGCGAAGGCAGCUCGCUGGGACGUGACUGACGCUGAGACGCGAAAGCGUGGGGAGCAAACAGG